GACAGACCCUCGGGUCCAUCCUCUGCACAAAGGAAGUGGCUGAGGCCCUCUGCCCGCAUCCUGUCUUCCCCAACCCCCCAUGGCCUGUCCAUCUGUGUCCUUUUCCUGUGGAUCUUCCAUCCCAGCCUGGGCAGGGGGCUGUGUGCCCCCCCCCACCUGCAGCCAUUUCCUGCCCUCCUGUCAUCUGCUUCCUUUGAUCCUUUUGUAGAGAGCCUUCUGGAAGCCUCUAGACCAUUGGCAAACUUGGCAGCCUCCUCCCCUGGGCUAGGCCUGGCCUGCUGACCCCACCGGGCGGGGGUCAAAGUGGGCUUCUCUUGGGAUGCUGCCCUGGGAGGCAGAUGGGUCCUGGUGUCAUUCAUUCAUUCAUUCAUUCGUUCGUUCACUCACCGGAAUGACAUGCUCUGCAAGCUGCUUCAAGCCAGAAGACCAUGAGUGGUCACGGGAGGGCCAGGGCCCCAUCAGAAUGGACUUCUGGGACACAAGAAGGGGUCCCCCGGACCCAGCAGAGAGGCGGGGAGAGGCUGAAGAAGAGGGAGUUCGGGUACGAAGAGAUGGAUGCGCCUCAUUGGUCAGAAAGUGACCAACUUUCUGGGCUGGCCCUUCCCCUGGCAUGGUCCCCCAUGCCUGGCUCAGGGCAGAAGCCCGACGGAUGCCGUCGAGGGGCUGUCAUUCACUGAACGCUUACCAGGGGCUGGGCGCGCUGGGCUGGGCUGUUCACAGCAGGUGCAAGUCUGUCCCCUCCUCACUGCAGUCCUAUGAGACAGGUGCCAUCAUCCUCCCCCAUUGCGCAGAUGAGACAACUGAGGCACAGAGAGAUGAAGUUUGCCCAGGGCCCUGUGGGUUGUGGGUGGCAGAGCUGGCUUCUGAACCCUACAUCUGUGACUUCAGCCCCCAGGCUCUUCCGUCCCUUGGUGAAUGACCAAGGAGCCGGACUUCGGGCAUUGGGACCCUGGGCUCAUCUCUGUUGCAUGAGGUGGGGAACCCGCAGGGUGGCUGGAAAGUUCUCACCCCAGGGGGUAGGAACCAGUUGGGAAAGAGGGUAGAGCCCCCCUCCUCCAGAGGAGGUCCGUCAGAGGACAGCAGUUUGCACUGAGGGUAGCCCCCUUUCCAUAGUCCCCCCACAACACACACACUGGGUUGGGGGGAAAAGGAGAAGGGGGGGCGCCUUGAGGAGGCGACAUCUGAGCUGGGACCUGAGUCAGGAAGAAGCCUGGAGGCAUCCGGGUGUCUGGAACAGCGAAGACAAAGGGCAAACCAGCGCUAGAGGCAGAAGCGGGGUUUCGGGGGUGACCGGUGCCCUUCUGGGUACAGUGUGGAGCGGUCGGUCGGUAGGAGCCAGUGACAGCCCAAUCAGGUCCUUCAAAGUCUCUGUGUGCUUCCCCAGGGCUGCAUGGAGGAAGAGGCCGAGGGGGAGGGGACACGAGGCAAGGAGCCCAGGUGAGGCUGGCGCGUGGGGAGACAUGGUGAGGCUAGACUUGGGGGUGGUUCUGGAGAGGGAGAGAGCACAGACUUGCCUACCACCCGGUGUGGGGCUCAAAGAUGACCCCGAGUUCUGAGACCUGCAUUUGUCAGCACGGGGAGCCAGGAGAUGGAGGAGGGCCUGACGUGGGGGUGAGUGGGACCAAGCCUGGACUGCUGCUCUACACAGAAGGCCCCCCCACUGCUUCUCCUACUGCUGCCCACACCCGCCGCCCUACACCCCUGCAUCCUCAUUCUCCUGUGAUUGAUGAAGGCCCCAUGCAGUGUUUGCUCAGCUGUCUGGGCCCUCUGGGGCUGGCUGCGAGUCUGUCCUGGUGCAUCUGUCUGUCUCAGGGAGGAGGAAGCCUAAGGAGCAGGGCUGGGGGUGGGACACAGUGCGAGGCAGAGUGGAAAUCCAUCAGAGUUUGGAGCCCGGCCCUCCUUGCACUGCUUUUGACUCGUCCUGGGAAAUGGACAGUCCAGACCAGGGCUUUGAUCCUCUGUGGGCUACAGGUGGUGCCCCCAGGUGAGCUGUGGGGACUUAGGACUGGGAAGCUAUUCUCCACCUUGGCCUGUCUUAGAGACAGGCCCACUACGCACUCACUGCCCCUUCUUUGCUCUCCUCCCUCACCCCUUUUCCCCCACAAAUCUAGCCUUUAAGGCUUUUUGUUUAGUCCACUCAGCCCCUCCGUCUGCCUCCCUGGAACAACCCCCCAUUAGUUCUCACCUGGACAUCUGCAGCCGCUGUCUCAUGGGUCUUCCUCUCUGCUCCUACCUCUGCCCCUGCAGUCUCUUCUACUCAAGGCAGCCAGAGUAAUCUUCCUGGGAGUGCUUCUGAAUGUGUCACUCCUCUGCCUAUAGCCUUCCAUGGCUCCCCAUUACUCUCAGUCUGACACUGAGACUAACACAAAGCCAGAAUGGCGUGACCCACACUGACCUCUCCCUCCCUCCCUCAAUCAAUGCUACUUCUUGUAGCUCUCUGCUUGGGGAAUGGAGUAUUUUUCAAUGGUCUAAUUAGCCCUGUUUUCGUCUCACCCUUAGGACCUUUGCACAUGCUACUGUGUCCUUCACCAGGGGCAUCCCCAUAGCUUCCGCCCGGCUGACUCUUUUUCAAGCUUUGGGUCUCAGGUUAGACCUCUUCUCCUUUUUCUGCCCUCUUCCCCAAGCAGCAGGCUGGGUCAGGGACCCCUCCAGGCUCUGACACACCUCGGGCUUCCCUGAACACAGCCCUGACCACCCUGGGGCGAUCCCCUUCCAUGCCCAGCAUAUGGUAGGUGUCCGGGAGAAGGUUCAAGGCUGGGGAGGGAGGACUGGUCACUGGGUAGCCAGGCCUCCUGGCUCUGUGUGCAGCAGAGGGGAGGAGGGGGCUCUUGGAAUAAUGAUCACAGCGAAUGGGAUCCCCCAUGUCUGGGCCUCCAGCAUAGUCCCACACCUCACCCCCUGCCACAAACAGAGGCCGCUGAAGGUCACCAACGGGGACUCAGCCCACAGAACAGUAACAGUGGCGAUGCCCUGUGCUCUGAGCUGAGGGCCACACCUGCUUGAACUCAUUCUAUACCUUUAUCACCCCUGGCCCCAUGGGAAGAGCACUGGACAGGGAGUCCAAGUCAGGCUCUGGCAUGACCAAGUGCUCUUGGCCCCGGCGGGGGCCCCCAUGUUUUGCUUUGGACAGAGGUGAGUGAUUAACAUUGUGUUUCUCGGUCCUCAGAAUCAUCCCUCAGAGGCCGCCCAUGUUAUCCCCCUGUUCUCAGUGAGGCCGGGAGGAGCGAGGGGACCCACCCAAGUUCGCACAGUCGGUGAGUGGCAGAGCGGGAAUUUGGUUUUUCAAUUUAUGGAGGUUUAAUUGACAUCAAUAGAUGCACGAUUAAGGAGUUUGGGCGUGGCCAUGCACCCACAAAACCACCAUUCGCUUCAAGACAGUGAACAUAUCCACCAUCCUCCAAAAGUUUUCUUGUGCCCCUUUGUGGGACCUCCUGGCUCCCAAUGUCCCAAAGCAACCACUGAGCUGCUUUCAGUCAACAGGUUAGUUUUGCAUUUUCUAGAAUGUUCUAUAAAGGGGCUCACACGUAUGCGUCCCUUAUUGCCUGGCUGCUCUCACUCAGCUUCACGACCUUGAGAUCACAUGGUGUUCCAUGUAUCGAUAAUUAAUUUCUUCUUAUGAAUAACCUCUUAUCAAUAGUUAAUAGUGGUCGGGGUGCGUUCCAUGGUUGGACGUACCGCAAACUGUCGAGGCGGUUACCUGUUGACGGGCUGUUUCCAGUUCUGCCUGUUACACAUAAAGCUUCUAUGAAGAUUCCUGCAUGAGUCUUUGCACCGACCUGAAUUUUCACUGCUCUGGGAUAAACACCUUUGAGUGGAAUGUCCAGUCCUAUGACAGAGAUCACGAGUAGGCAGAGAGGCAGACAGAGAGAGGAAGAAGCAGCUCAGCUCUCCCACUGAGCGAGAGCCCCAUGCGGGGCUCCAUCUCCAGAUCCUGGGAUCAUGACCUGAACCGAAGGCAGAGGCUUUAACCCACUGAGCCACCCAGGCGCCCCAACAGUGACAAUCUCUGAAGAUUCCACCACACACGAGGAGAGCCCUAUGACCAUCCAGAAACAUAUGUUCGUGUGAGCUGGGGGCUGAUCCUUCCUCUCUGUGGAGGUGAACCAACUCCCCACCCCCACUCCAUUCAGCACAUCACAGAGGUUGUAAAAUGGGCCCACACCCAUCAGUCCAGGGGCCAAGGACCAAAAGGAUUGUCUGGGCCAGGGACUGGGCAGCUUCUGUUCCCACCUCCAACAUGCUGUGUGACAACCGAGCAAUUGAGAACUCAGAAUAAUUGUCCCUGUCCUCUGAGGAUUAGAGGAAACACAUGGAAGCUUUAGAAAGACAACAGCCCUUCACCCAUAUGAUGGACCGUUUUUCUGAAGGUGUCAGCAGGGUUCAGCCUUUGAACUAUACAGUCUUUUAUUACUAAAACCUGCCAGAAGGGUGUCGACUCUGCGCAGACCAGCUAGCUAGUUGUUCAUUCAUCCAUCCAUCCAUCCGUCCAUCCAUUCAUUCAUCCAACCAUUCAUUCAUUCUGCACCACCUGUGUACUAGGGCCACUGUAAGACUCCAGGGAUCUAGAAAUCAAUAUAGAUAGCUUCUGCCCUCAAGAAAUUGGCUGACACUUGGCUUUGAACAGAAAUCAGUCACUUCACAUGGGUUCUGGUUGAAGCUUGAACUUAGUCCUGGGGGAUUUGAGGAGGAACAUUGGCUGUGCUUGGGCUGGGCAGGUGAGAAGGGGGUCCUAGAGGGGGAGCAUACUCAUGAUCUGGAAGGAAAAGGCAGAGGAUGUAGAGAAGGACAUGAAGGCAGAAGGGAGAGUACUGGGGCGCCUGGGUGGCUCAGUCCGUUAAGCAUCUACCUUCAGCUUAGGUCGUGAUUCCAGGGUCUUGGGAUGGAGCCCUGAGCCCUGCAUCCCUCUCCUUGCUCAGCAGGGAGUCUGCUCAUCCCUCCCGCUCUGCCCCUCCACCUUGCUCAUGCUCUCUCGCUCACUGUCUCUGUCUCAGAUACAUAAGUAAAAUCUCAAGAAAGAAAGAAAGUUAGAUGAGAAGAAGAAAAAAGGAAAGAAGGAAGCAAGGAAGAAGGGAGAGAACACCCAAAGCCACGGGGCCAGGAGGGACAUCCUUGCGUGCCUGGAUGACACUUGAUUCAUCCCUCUGAAGAGAUGAAAGGCAUCAGGUUCAUUGCUGUCCACACCGGGUCUUCAAAGCCACCCUGGCCCCAGCGCUAGACCCUCUUGGCCAAAAACCUGAGUCUUCAACUCCCUGCCCAUCCUUGGACUUGCACAUUCUGUCCCAGGGAGCCUGGGAGCACCUCCGUAGUCUCAACACACCACGUCUGACACCUGGCUGGCCCUCAGGUAAAAGAAAAUAUUGCUGAAUCUACAAUAAUAUUAGAGUUUACCUCCAGAUUCUUUCUCCCCCAGAUCUGACCAUUUCCAUUUGCAAUUCGUGCCUGAAACCAAAGCCAACUGCCUGGCCUCUUCUCUGCCUACAAAACAUUUUUACUGAUUUUAUGGCUACAAAAAAAAAAAAAAAAAAGAAAGAAAGAAAGAAAAUUUCCUUCCUGUCUUCACAUUUGCAGGAAAGAGAGCCCUGGCCCUGACUCAGAAUUGGAUUCUAGCUGGAGGCGUCCUCUCCGCCGCUGGCUCCAGGGAAAGGGUUGAUCUGUUUGUUCCCUGACCUUGAGCGGGAGCUAAGGCAGCCGGAGAGAGAGGACACACAGGAGCUGGGAGGGAAAUGAGACAAGCUGGAGCUGUGGUCCUGGGACCCCCGAAGCCUGCGCCAGGGACCAGCCAGGUGCUGGGAAAUGAGAGAGGGCGGAGACAGGCCCCACUCCUGGGUCCCUGGGCUGCACUGCCUGCCUGUCCCCAGCCUUGGCCCCCUAAAAAACGAACAGAAUAGGUAUUCAGAUCACUCUCGGGGGCCAUAAAGCGCUCAGGUAGAAACUGACUUUGCCAUCCACACGAGGGCCAACUGUGGCUUGGUGACUGACCCAGUGCUCCCUGGAGGAGGGAAUCAGCCCAGGCAGCCUGGUCCUGGGGUGGCACGCCUACAGACCAAGGACGGUGGCACCCGGGGGGAGGCGAGAGACGAAGAAAUCGGGAAAGAAAAGAGCCCUUCCUAUAAAGGGUCUCCUUCCUGCUAGUACAUGAAUGCGACUGAACUCACACCUGUGUCAAGCACCUUCUGUUGGCCGGGAUCCUUCCUCUCCACGAGGCCCCCCUCUUUUCUCCAGCGGAACUGGAAGCAGACUUUCAUCCCAGACCAUUUAUUUCCUCCCCGAGAACCUCACUCUCACUACAACAGUGAAGCUCUUGUUGUAGACAUUGCAGAAAAUGCAGGCGAGCUCAAUGAAGAAAAUAAAACCACUUUUAACCCCGUCAUCUGAAGACGACGACGGGACUUUUGACGUUUGGGGGUGUUGGUUCCCCUCUAGGGUCUCCAUAUCCAGUGUCUUUGCUUAGAGUC